CCGUGUUCCUUUGCUGCGAGUCGCUUCGGUCGCACCCAGAACCCUUUGUGAACGGACAACCUUACUGUUGCCUCGGCGCUGGCCGGCCUCCUCACCGAGGCCCCUGGAGAAGGGAGCAGCCCGCCGGCGGCCAAACAAACUCUUGUUUCUUAGUGAAUCUCUGAGAAAAAACAUAAUGAAUCAAAACUUUCAACAACGGAUCUCUUGGUUCUGGCAUCGAUGAAGAACGCAGCGAAAUGCGAUAAGUAAUGUGAAUUGCAGAAUUCAGUGAAUCUCGAAUCUUUGAACGCACAUUGCGCCCUCUGGUAUUCCGGAGGGCAUGCCUGUUCAGCGUCAUUUCAACCCUCAAGCCUGGCUUGGUGUUGGGGCACCGCCUUUGCAAAAGGCGGGCCCUGAAAUCUAGUGGCGAGCUCGCCAGGACCCCGAGCGUAGUAGUUAUAUCUCGUUCUGGAUGGCCCUGGCGGUGCCCUGCCGUUAAACCCCCAACUUCUGAAAUUUUGACCUCGGAUCAGGUAGGAAUACCCGCUGAACUUAA
rnacentral:rRNA from 1 species